rnacentral:rRNA from 1 species
AUGAGUUGUCUAAGUUGGAACUGCCGGGGGCUUGGGAACCCCGAGGCAGUUCGAGAGCUUCGCAAGAUUGUGAAGCAAGAAGGGCCUGCCUUAGUUUUUGUUAUGGAAACAAAGAUUAGGGCGAAGAGGGUGGAAAGUCUACAACAUACUCUUGGGUUAGCGGGAUGUUUUGCAGUGGAUAGUGCUUGUCUCAGUGGUGGAAUUGGACUCUUUUGGUCUAAGGAAGUUGUUGUCCAGCUAAACAAUUUCAGUUCGGGACAUAUCGAUGUGAUGGUCCAGAAAGCUGAUCAAAAUUCUCCGGAAUGGAGAUUCACGGGGUUCUAUGGAGCCCCGAGGAGUGAGGAUAGACACCAUAGUUGGCGGCGUCUUCGUACUUUGCAUGCCGUCCAGCAUCAGGCAUGGCUGUGUGUGGGGGAUUUCAAUGAAACGCUGUAUGGAAUCGAGCACUUUAGUCGAUCACCUUGA